rnacentral:tRNA from 1 species
GUUCUUGGAGUGUUUUGCACAUUGGAUUUUCAUUCCGGAAGUAUAAAUUGAGUUUUAUCAAGGAU